AUCUCUGCCUCCACAGCUGUCUGAUUUAGCCUCCACGGUUUUUUGUUGUUGUUGUCCUUUUAAUCCAAAUACCUACUGCAAAAGCCUAACCACUGUUAAAAGAACAUUCGUCUUUGAAGCAUUUUAUGUAAUGUAUUCCCAGUGUACACCUCUUAAUCCUGUAGAACAGUUAUUAGUUAAUGUUGUAAUCAGCUAGGGAAAAGGGUAGGAAAAGGCACUCUGGUUCGGUUUAACAUAGGCAUCUCGGAGUUCUUCUGUUUCUGAGGUCUACAGGGCAGAGUCUGAACGCCAUUAAGUUUCCUUGUCAUCUUAGUGCCUUUCCAUCCCUUUCGUUUAAAUGAUUCAAAUUCUCUUUUUCCUUCCUGGCGGCGAUCACAACAAAACACAUUCCACUAUAUGGAGAAAGAGAUCUAUACUUAGCUCCACAACUGAACCGGCAAGAACAUUUUUGUAGGCAUAAAGAUAAGCAACAAACCAGAAACAGAGUUUUGGGGACACACAUCUGCAGAGGCUUCAAAUAAUCUUUUUACCAAGAGCAUCUGAUAAAGCGCUGCUGUAAACGCGGGGUCAGCAGUGUGCCGGUGAGCCUUCGUCUAGCGCCGCGUUCCUCGGGCUCUCCGGGCAGCCCUCCUGCGAGCCUCCUCCCGCCCUCCCUGCCGUGCAUUCGGAGCGGCUCCGCAGAUUCCCACAUAAAGUGGGUCCUGGCCGCCAUCUUAGAGAGUCAUUCACACCAGCCGGACCGCGGCACCACGCUUCCAAGCCUCCCAGGACUGCGCCCAACCUCCUCCCUCGCUGCUCUCCCUCUCCCUCGGCUUGCACAGGGGGUCAAACUCCAGGUCUGAGGCAAGCCGUGCCUCUGAAAUCUGCAUGAUGUAAAAUGUCAAGUCUGACCACCCAACACAGGAGCAGAGCGAAUGAGGCGAUGCACGUGUUUGCACGUCGGGUGCGUAUCAAUUUCCCAUGCAGAGACCCAUGGAAGAGCCACUGGGCGAUUUAAAGGAGGUACAGCGCAGAGGGGUUUCCACUCCAGAACCUAAGAAAGCGGAGUGCUAUCUUCUCCACGCUGAGGACCUGCUACUAGAGGGCAGAGACCCGAGCCGAGGGGUGGAGCAGCACGGGCAGAGAAAGUUCCCAUCUGCUGGCGCUCCAGCUGCUGCAGUCCCCUUUCAUCCCCGGGCACCCCGGCCAACACUCCAUCUCCGGACCUCCCCCUCUCCCGUGUCUCAGACACAACGUAGUAAACACCCGGAGUCCCAGGCAGCGCGCACCUCCCCCAGGCCUGCGGAGGACAUCCCGGCAGGUUAUGAAUGGCCUCACUAUACCCAGCUCCUUUUCACACGCGGGCACGCGCACACGCGCGCCCCGGAGGCGAAGAUUUAAUACCCCCGGUCAGAGCAACGGCCAACAGAAUCAAUGGCCCUCCAUCAGAGAGAGAGAAAGGAAGGCGCUCACGCUUCCCAGGCCUCACCAAAGAGGUUCUAGACCGGGCGACACAACCCAUUUUCCCAGGUUGACUCUAAUGUGAGGACGUUCCUUCUCCUAAUUAUAUUCCCUGCACCGACUGGAUAGUGGGAAUUCAGAGUACGCCCAACUUGGAACCUUCCAGGGUAUUGGAUAUCAGGAGAAGUGAAUUUCCACAGGCGAUCGCAGAUUUGCUACGUUCUUUCUCAAUGUGCGGAAAGUAUGAAUAAAUUCUCAUUGUAA